CGGGGACUAAUUGUAUCAACGGUAAGACUGAUGGCAGCAGCAAAGUGGAGAUUGUGGAGUACAACACCGCAGCUUUAAGUACGGGGACUAAUUCUAUCAACGGGAAGACUGAGGGCAGCAGCAGAGUCGAGACUUAGGAGUACAACACUGCAGCUUCAAGUACGGGGACUAAUUGUAUCAACGGUAAGACUGAGGGCAGCAGCAAAGUGGAGAUUGUGGAGUACAACACCGCAGCUUUAAGUACGGGGACUAAUUCUAUCAACGGGAAGACUGAGGGCAGCAGCAGAGUCGAGACUUAGGAGUACAACACUGCAGCUUCAAGGUAGGAAAAG